CUUGUGAUACAGUCCGAAAUGGUCGUCGGCGCCAACUCGAUCUCUGUCCUGGUGUUACGAGGUAAUUCCUCCGUUUCACAACGUAAUUCGUUCUAACAUUUUCCAUAUUCAUAUUGAUACUAAUAAAUUUAGAUAAAUAUAUAUGUCUAGAUUAAUUAGCAUCAAUAUGAAUAUAGGAAAUGUUAGAAUGAUUUAUAUUGUGAAACAGAGGGAGUAGUUGUCAGAGGUUUAAGAUAGUUGUUUUGUUUUUAGUGAGGCCCGAGAUUUAUCUCUGGUCAGUCACUUUAAGCACGUGCUAAUAGACAGACAUAUUUCUGGGUUUGCCUGCAUAAUUGAAAACAAAAGAACACGGAUUAUCUAGACGAUUAACAUGUUCCCUAACUUGAUUAUUUAUUCAUCCAUUUUUAAGGCAGGAAUCAGAUCAGCGUGGACAACCUAGCUCAUGUGUAUCUAGUUUAUCAGAACUGAAAUGAAAUAGCCCAAGUUAGCCCAAUUUGAUGGUUCGUAAGCCCAUCUUCUGCUCGCUUCGUUGCUAGGCCGUUUCUGUCCUGCCACGUACUUUCAGGCCCAAAUACGGAGCCCAGUUUGUUGGUUGGAUCAGUUAGGCUUUGUAGCUGGCUAUGCGCCAACCUUUGUAUGAUUUCACGUAUGUAGUUUAAAUCACUUAAAUUGAGCUACACUUUAUAAACACUAGUUUUUCAUAAUAGUAUUUAGAAGUGUAUCUAAAAUCUGAAUACCGACGAGUAUAGAUAGUAAUUUACCCGUGCUAAUGCCACGACAAUAUUUGUUAACAAAGACCCCCCCCAAAAAAAAUACACAUAGCUAGAAAAUAGAUAAAUUUAUAAAGCUAGGUGUGUAAUAUAACAUCACAUAUACCUUCUUUUACUAUGCAAUUUGCAUACAAAUACUUUCGGCCAAUCUCAAUUUUUUCCCCUUCAGAAUGAAACUACCAGAACUUUACAUCUAACCAUCUUACAAAUCUGUCUCCACCUGUAUAACUAGCUAAUUAAGUCGCGCUUUCGCGCGACAUGACCUAUCCUUUUUUAUAUAUGAUAAUUAGAACUAAGGGCAUGUUUAGAUUACUGCCAAAAUAAACUUUUCCAAAAUUUGGCAAUAUCAAUUUUUUGGCAAGUUGAUAGUAUUGUCAAAUUUUGAUAGAAUGUGAUAAAUAUGAUGUUACCAAAAUUUGCCUAGUGUGUGAAAUUUAUCGUAAAUAUUUAUAUUAGCACCUCUUCUCAACUUUAUAUAUAUAUUAUUAGCAUGUAUAUAUUUUAAUUAUUAAUCCAAGUAAUUUUUGAAAAUUUAUUUUAAAGCAUUAACUUCUUAACAUUUGAAGAACCUCGUUCUGUAUUAUUGAAAGGGACCAUACCACGCUUGGAAAAAAACAUUAGUUUUUUUUCUAAUAUUAUUUUUGGAGUUUAAUUCCAAGUUUUUUUAUGCUUUCAGUAUUAAAAAACAAUUUUUCUAUAUAUGCCCCUCUUUAGAUUGUAAAUGGACCGUAAUUGGUCGCGUCGAAAAAAAAAAUCGUCCUCCAUUUUCGUGUGUGGAUCCUUAAGAGGACUACACAGAAAAAUUAAUUUUCACAAAUGGACCACUUAAGUGGACUGCACACGAAAAUAAACGUAUUUUCAUAAACGGGCCUCUUAAGUGGACCGAAUGUAAAAAUAUAGUUUUUUUUAUCCCAACCCUUUCAAUCUUUUUCCUCUCACUUAAUCCCUCCUCUGUAUCUCUAUCUUUUCCUUCUCUCAUUUCCCUUUUUAUUUUACUUAAUCCCUCCUCUCUCUCUCUCUGCCUUUCCUUUCCUCCCCUUCGAGCGCGUGGGGCACGGGAGGCGGUGGCGGCGCGGCCGGGAGCGGACGGGAGGCGGCGCGGCGGCUGGUGAUGACCGGAGGUGGAGCGGGCGGGAAGCGGCGGCGGUGCCGGCUGAAACGGCGCGGCGGCUGGCGACGGCGACGAGGAGGAGGAGGCGGCCCGCUGCCAGGAGCGGCGCCUUCCUCUCCACGCGCGGCGGCUGCGGAUUUGGUGGUGGGGGAUGCGGGCGGCGGCGGGCUCAGGAGCGGCGGUGGCGGCCGGUCGCGGCGGAGGCGGUAUCGGAAGCGGCGGCGAGCGGCUCGGCGGACGGCGGCGUCGGGCGCGACGGCGGCCGCGCGUGGAAGGCGGCGAGGGGCGACGGCGACCUGCCCCCGCCCGGAUCCGGCGGAGGCGGCUGCCCCCUGCCCGGAUCUGGCGGCGGCAGCCGUCCCUCGCCAGCAUCCGGCGACGGUGGCAGCGGGCGGCGGCGGCGACGUCACCGACCACGAGGAGGGCUGCGGCGGCAGCUUCUAGGGUUUUUUUUAAUCUGCCCUCUAUAUUUCUAACCAUCCAAUCGAAAUCCAACGGCUCAGGUUUUCUUGCAUACGUGGCACAAUCACAGACCGAAUAAACAUCCUGCGUUCAUUGAUGAUGAUGAUGAUGAUGAUUACAUCCUUCACCCUUGCCGUUUGGAACGUACCAGAAUAUAUGAGUUUACCCUGAACAGUGAACACUUGCUGCAUAGUAGUAUUAUCCCUGCAUGAGAAAUGACCAAUCAAAGUAUUUAUGUGAUUUCUCUUAAAAAAAAGUAGUAUUAACGAAAGAUAUCCUCACAAAGAGAAAAUAGAGGGGGAACAAGCAAUGUUGUUGCAAUGUUGUUUUUUAUACACAAGAGAUCAUUCAACAUAUUUUCUUUUUUUGUCAUGUUGCACGUUUUGCUUAGCGAUGUGUCCUUUUUGUCUUUAAUAUUCCCCCUUCCCGCAAUGCAAAAGUUAUUUUGGGUAAUUGGCUAAGGGGAGUGUCUAGGCUCACAAAAAAAUUGAUUUUAUUUGGAGCUACUACGCUUUGUUGGUCAAUCUGACGUUGCCAUAAUGAUAGAGUUUUUAGCCAUAAGAAAUUGCCUACCAUUAUGCGGGUUAUCUUCAUGGGUUCCAAUUGCUCCAUUCUUGAUGUAUGAUGCUUUCAUAUAAACAACAUGAUACUAUGCGUAUUGGUGCUACACGCUUGGAAUUGGUAGCCAGGGAGCUUUUAUUCCAAUUUGUAUGACGUAGAACCUAUUGAAUUUCGUGCUAGAAUAUAUGUAAUUUUGAAAACGUUAUUUCAAUCAACCCUUUUAUUGGCGGAAGUUGGGGCUUUAUCCCAUCAUGUCUAUUUUAAAUUAUUCUGAAACUUGUUGACUGUGUGCUUCCAUUUUAUCUGACAAAAAUGAAAAAUGCAGUCAGAGACGACAUGACACGAGACUUGUACAAUGCAUAUAAAACUUCGGAAAAAGUCCACUUUGACUCCCUUAAUUGUACGCCGAAUCUAAUUCGUACCCCUCAACCAGAAAACCGGAUAGGACGACUCCCCGAACUAUUGAAACCAGUGCAAUUUGACUCCUUCUGCGGUUUUGCUGAUGUGACGCUGAUAUUGCGGUGUUGACCCGAUCUUCGUCCCACGUGACGCUUAUAUGGCAUUAGAAUUAAAAAAUAUCAGUGGGACCCAUAUGUCAUUCACAGCAAAAAAAAAUACCGUGGGACCGACUGACAUGUAGGGUCCAUAUGUCAUCCUCUCUCCUUCCCGGCGGAGACGGCGGCGGUGGGCAAGAGGCGGGGGAUCCAGGCGACAUUGUUGCUGGAACUACGCCCAUGACGGCUUCGCCGACUCCGCCCCCACCCUACCCCGCGCCCGACCCCUCUCUUCCUCUCGGACGCAACGCCGGACGACGAUGACGACAUGGAGAUAGCGAGGCGGAGCUGGAGGGGUGGCGGACGCUCCAGCGCCCGCCUCCCGUACGCCGCCGAUCUGACUCUGGUCCCGCCCGUACGCCGUCGUCGCCACUCCGGCCCCCGUCUGUCGCCGCCGCCGAUCCAACUCCCGCUCCCUGCGUGCGUACGGAGGGGGAGAGAAAAGAGAGAGAAGGGAGAGAGAGGGAGGAGGAAGAAGGGAAGAAGGAUGACAUGUGGGCCCCUACGCAUCAGUGGGUCCCACAAUAUAUUUUGUGUGUGUGAAUGACAGAUGUGUCUUACAGACAUUUUUUCAAUUCUAAUGCUACAUAAGUAUCACGUGGGAUGAAGAUCGGGUCAACACCGUUGAGGGAGUCAAAUUGCACUGGUUUCAAUAGUUCGGGGAGUCGUCUUAUCCGGUUUUCUUCUUGAGGGGUACGAAUUAGAUUCGGCGUAAUUAAGAGAGUCAUAGUGGACUUUUUCUUAAAACUUCCUACGCAAUUUGCUUCGCUAAUUUCGCACAGGUCAUAGGCUAGCAGCCCAUAUAGGAAAGCCCAACGUUGGCCCAUUUCUCUCGUGUGUGUACAUCUAUAUAUAUUGAGAAGAAAACCUAGCUAGGUCACUCAAGUCCUCCCAUCCAGCAGCUCAGCCGCCACAAGCCAUGGCCGAUGCGAGCUCGGCCGCCGUCGCUGCCCCCAAGCCCCAACUGGCCGCCGGCACUUGAGCACCAAGCAGGGCCAGCUCGACGACGCCGUCGCCGCCCGCCACCAAGCUCGAACAGAUCAGCUCCAGCAAUGUUCAAUCCAACGACUUUUGCAUUGAUUGAUUGAUUUUCUCUGCUCGUGUGAUUGUGUGAUUGGAAUCGACUAGCUUGAACCAAUUGAUAGUAUCCCUGUGCUGUGCGUGCAUUGCAUGUGUACAUAUUACCAAAUCUCUGUUGCAUAUGGAUCCACUCUUGGAUAUCGGUUUUCGCUUGAAUGCCGUUUUCUUCUGUUAUUUUGUUGUUCCUUUUUUUAAGCUAUAAAACCCAACCUUCUCUUUAUGAUCUGUUUGUUUUCAAUAUUGUAAUUUUUUUUCUGGAAUUUGUUGUUAAUUAUAACCUUUUCAUUAUCUCCUGAGCUAGCAGAUUGAUGAUGAAACAAUUUCUCCAAGCGUUUGUUACGCUGACAUCCAUAUAUGAUGGAGGGCUAUGUUACCAUAGCCUUCAUAGUUUUCAAUCUGAACCAUCUGCUGCUCAAUCAUUUUCCCCAGAUUUUUUUUACAGCGAUUGUUUCUCCAUUGCUAACUGUUCUGUAUUGAUUUGGGAUUCAAAUUCCUUUCAUGGUUUUUGCUCGUUUUCUUUACAAUCUCAUUCAUUUGUCUGUGCAACAUUUGGGAAAAAUUGGGAGAAGUGAUGAUAUUAUAUCCAUACCACAUUUCUGCAUUCACUAUGAUGAUCAUUAACUUCAUGCACUACCAUCUGAUCUCCCACUACACAUAAUAAAGUUAUGGUACAAGGUAUAUAAAUUGAAGUUGUGCAAUGAUGGACUGAUUUUCAUUUACACGCUGAAUUUAUUUUGUUAAUUAAUGUGCAAUCUGUGAUGCAAAUAAUCCCAUUUGCUGAAUCACUGUGAUUAUUGCAAUCAAAAUCACCAUCUUUCGGCUGAGAUUGCACAUUGUUAUUCUGCAAAAUUUAUCUUUGUUUUAAAUUAAGGUUUAUGCCAUUUGGUAUCUGACACAUAAUCAUUUCUCUGAUUAUGUGUCUCGAAACAUGGCAGAAAGUGAGGGGGAACGGUCCUUGCGACACUGGUUGCUACUAUAUGAGCUUCUAGUUACUAUAUACCCGUUUACAUUUCCUUGCUUUUUUAGUAUUUCUGUUUAACUUUUGUCAUGCCUAUGUGUUGUGAUGCAUUAGUUUUGUACUGUGGAGAUUGUACCCCUGUCAAACCACUUAAUGAAAUUACAGAUAAUUAUUAGACUGAAAAUGCCGUCUUUUGGCUGAAUCACUCUGAUCAAUCAAAAUCACCAUAUUUCAGCUGAGAUUGCACAUUGUUGUUACGCGAAACAAUUUUAUCUUUGUUUUAAAUUAAGGUUCAGCCAUUUGGUAUCUGACACAUAAUCAUUUCUCUGAUUACAUGUCUCGAAACAUGGCAGAAAGUAAGGGGGAACGGUCCUUGCGAUGCUGGUUGCUGCUAUAUGAGCUUCUAGUUACUAUAUACCCGUUUACAUAUCCUUUGCUUUCUUAGUAUUUCUGUUUGGCUUUAUUCAUUAGUUAUGCCUAUGUGUUGUAAUGCAUUAGUUUUGUACUGUGGAGAUUGUAUGUCUAUCAAACUACUUAAUGAAGUUACAGAUAAAUAUUAGACUGAAAGUCUAAAAUCACUGUAGCAUAUUGGGCUAAAAGGUAUAGUUUGUUUACUUGGAAUCUCUCGAAAGUUUGUUUGAUUGCUGAAUUUGUGCUCCAGUUUGUUUGCUGUUUCUUACAUGAAGCAUUACCUGUCCUGAUGUUAUUUAUCACUUAUGAGAUUUGUGUAUGCAGUUUCCAUUUUUUCAGUGCCUGUUAUGCAGAUGCCAAGCGUCUCAUUGGCCGGAGAUUUACUGAUGCUUCUGUCCAGAGUGAUAUUAAGCUCUGGCCCUUCAAGGUCAUUGCUGGACCUGGUGACAAGUCAACGAUUGUGGUUCAGUACAAGGGUGAAGAGAAGCAGGUUGCAGCUGAGAUGCCAAGCGUCUCAUCGGCCAGAGAUUUACUGAUGCUUCUGUCCAGAGUGAUAUUAUGCUCUGGCCCUUCAAGGUCAUCGCUGGACCUGGUGACAAGUCAAUGAUUGUGGUCCAGUACAAGGGUGAAGAGAAGCAGUUUGCAGCUGAGGAGAUCUCUUCUAUGGUCCUCAUCAAGAUGCGUGAGAUUGCUGAAGCUUACCUUGGCACCACCAUAAAAAAAGCUGUCGUAACAGUUCCUGCUUACUUCAACUACUCACAGAGGCAGGCUACCAAGGACGCUAGGGUCAUUGCUGGCCUCAAUGUCAUGCGUAUCAUCAAUGAGCCUACUGCUGCUGCCAUUGCCUAUGGUCUUGACAAGAAGGCUUCCAGUGUUGGUGAGAAGAACGUCCUCAUCUUCGACCUUGGUGGUGGUACCUUUGAUGUCUCUCUUCUCACCAUUGAGGAGGGAGGUCAAGGCCACAGCUGGUGACACGCAUCUUGGUGGUGAGGACUUUGACAACAGAAUGGUGAAGCACUUUGUUCAGGAGUUCAAGAGGAAGAGCAAGAAGGACAUCACUGGCAACCCAAGGCCUGUCGGGAGGCUGAGGACAGCUUGUGAGUGGGCGAAGAGGACUCUCUCCCCUCCACUUCCCAGACCACCCACCAUUGAGAUUGACUCCCUGUACGAGGGCAUCGACUUCUACUCGAACAUCACCUGCGCCAGGUUCGAGGAGCUGACCAUGGAUCUCUUCAGGAAGUGCAUGAGGGGAUACCAAGAUGGACAAAGAGCAGCGUGCACGAUGUUCAUCCUUGUUGGUGGCUCCACCAGGAUUCCCAGAGUGCAGCAGCUCCUCCAGGACUUCUUCAAUGGCAAGGAGCUCUGCAAGAACAUCAACCCUGAUGAGGCCGUCGCCUAUGGCGCCGCUGUCCAGGCCCCCAUCUUGGUCUGGAGACGGCCAGAGGAGUGAUGACCUAGAAGGAGCAGGCCGGUCUUCUCCACCUACUCCGACAACCGGCCUGGUGUGUUGAUCCAGGUGUACGAGGGCGAUGGGAGAGGACCAUGACACCAUUGAGUAAGUGAGGAGAUCGAGAAGAUGGUCCAGGACGCGGAGAAGUACAAGUCGGAGGACGAUGAGCUACAUCGAAGAACAUGCACAAACACCAUCAAGGUCCGAGCACCCACGCGGCGGCCAAGAAGAUGGGAGGACGCGGUGGGAGAUUGAGCCAAGAUGGACGAGGACGUGCCGUUAAAUUUUGGCUGAUCAUGGUGGUUAAAUUUUGGCUACGUUGUAAUGAAAAAUGCAUUGGUUGCUUCGUUAAAGUAAUAGUACUACAAUUGUUCUGUUUCGGUUCAUCCGCAUUUGCCUUUUGAUUUUUGUUUAGCUGCUACUUAAAUCGCGUUUAUUUUGCAUACAGUAUCUAUCUGUCUUCUCCAAAGCGUUGGGGUGUGCUUUUCUUCCCCGGUGGUAUUCA